UCAAAUGCGAUGACGCAAUGCAUGCCGCACUUAUCUCCCGCAUCGACUUGCACCUUUGCAGAAAGCCAACAGCUGCCUUGCAUCAAACUACAGCGUGCAACAUCCCGCCGACACCACAAGUCGUCGUUUAAGUGAACGGACUUCCGAACGGCGAGCAGAGCCAAGCAAGCUAGCUAGCAAGCAUGCUAGCAUGUACGGUGUACCUGCCGCAGCUGCACGUCUUACGCUCCGCGGGCGGGGCCGGCGCUCUGCGGCUUUUGUCCGCGCCCAAUCGGGAGUCACGCGGGCACACGUCGGGCCCACUUGUGACGUGCGGCGCCUCAAAUGAGCACAAAAGCUUUGGGAGGUCAGGGCGCCGUCGAAGGGUCGUGACGUCACACGCCAGUUCCCGGCGUCCCGAGUUCUCGUUCUUCUUCUUGGAGUGGGAGGAACUUUUUUUUGGUGUGCGUGCGCAAAUGGUCAAUUAAGACAAUGAUAUAAAACAUUUACAAUAAAACAUUCUAAAAAAAAAAA